GGGUGCUUGACUGUGAGGCCUACAAGCCGAUCAGGUACGAAAGUAGGAUAUAGUGAUCCGGUAGUUCCGCAUGGAAGGGCUAUCGCUCAAAGGAUAAAAGGUACUCUGGGAUAACAGGCUGAUCUCCCCCAAGAGCUCAUAUCGACGGGGAGGUUUGGCACCUCGAUGUCGGCUCGUCGCAUCCUGGGGCUGGAGAAGGUCCCAAGGGUUGGGCUGUUCGCCCAUUAAAGUGGCACGCGAGCUGGGUUCAGAACGUCGCGAGACAGUUCGGUCUCUAUCUACAGUGGGCGUUAGAGAUUUGAGUGGACCUGCUUCUAGUACGAGAGGACCGAAGCGGA
rnacentral:rRNA from 1 species